UCGGGAAUUUUGCACAAUGGCCGAAAGGCUGAUGCAGCAACGCCGCGUGAGCGAAGAAGGCCUUCGGGUUGUAAAGCUCUGUUGCCUGCGAAGAAGGGCCCUGUCAGGAAAUGGGCGGGGUUUGACGGUAGCAGGCGAGGAAGCCCCGGCAAACUACGUGCCAGCAGCCGCGGUAAUACGUAGGGGGCGAGCGUUGUCCGGAAUUACUGGGCGUAAAGGGCGUGUAGGCGGCCUGUUAAGUCAGGGGUGAAAGACCGGGGCUCAACCCCGGGGGUGCCUCUGAAACUGGCGGGCUUGAGUGCUCUAGGGGGCAGUGGAAUUCCCGGUGGAGCAGUGAAAUGCGUAGAGAUCGGGAGGAACACCAGUGGCGAAGGCGGCUGCCUGGGGGGUCACUGACGCUGAGGCGCGAAAGCUAGGGGAGCAAACAGG
rnacentral:rRNA from 1 species